rnacentral:rRNA from 1 species
AUUUGUUAAUUUUAAAAAAUAGAAACGUUUAGCUAAUUUUUAAUAAAAAGUUCAAUCAGUAUUGAGAGGGUUUGAUAAUUUGUGAGAGCAAAUUAAGUUGUGCUAAAAGACUAGUAAAAACUGUGCCAGCGGCUGCGGUUAUACAGUUAGUGUGUUUGAAGAUUUACUUACUUUAGAGUGGUUGGGUGUUUGGUGGUGAAAUAUGAGGACAUUUAAGAUACUACGAGAUAAUAAUUUUAGACAAAUUGGAUUAGAUACCCAAGUAGAUUAAAAAGUUAGUUAAGGGGAAUAUCUAAAUAAUUUGGCGGUAUAUUUGAAAGAUAGGGGGUUCUGGAUUGGAUAUUAAACCUAAAUAAAUUUAAUUUAUUCUUCUUGUAUGAUUGUUUAGAUGAGUUUCGUUUUAAAUAAAUUACAUAGGGGGUGGAUUAACUUAUUCUGGAUCUUAUGAUUAAUUUAAGUAAUGGACUUAUGAGUAAAAGAGAGAUAUUGAAUAUAUCAAAUAUAAGUACAUAUCGCCCGUCAACACCUCAAAGGUGUAAGUCGUAACAUAGUGGGUCUAUUUGAAAAUGGAUCU